rnacentral:rRNA from 1 species
GACGAACGCUGGCGGCGUGCCUAAUACAUGCAAGUCGAACGAACUCUGGUAUUGAUUGGUGCUUGCAUCAUGAUUUACAUUUGAGUGAGUGGCGAACUGGUGAGUAACACGUGGGAAACCUGCCCAGAAGCGGGGGAUAACACCUGGAAACAGAUGCUAAUACCGCAUAACAACUUGGACCGCAUGUCCGAGCUUGAAAGAUGGCUUCGGCUAUCACUUUUGGAUGGUCCCGCGGCGUAUUAGCUAGAUGGUGGGGUAACGGCUCACCAUGGCAAUGAUACGUAGCCGACCUGAGAGGGUAAUCGGCCACAUUGGGACUGAGACACGGCCCAAACUCCUACGGGAGGCAGCAGUAGGGAAUCUUCCACAAUGGACGAAAGUCUGAAGGAGCAACGCCGCGUGAGUGAAGAAGGGUUUCGGCUCGUAAAACUCUGUUGUUAAAGAAGAACAUAUCUGAGAGUAACUGUUCAGGUAUUGACGGUAUUUAACCAGAAAGCCACGGCUAACUACGUGCCAGCAGCCGCGGUAAUACGUAGGUGGCAAGCGUUGUCCGGAUUUAUUGGGCGUAAAGCGAGCGCAGGCGGUUUUUUAAGUCUGAUGUGAAAGCCUUCGGCUCAACCGAAGAAGUGCAUCGGAAACUGGGAAACUUGAGUGCAGAAGAGGACAGUGGAACUCCAUGUGUAGCGGUGAAAUGCGUAGAUAUAUGGAAGAACACCAGUGGCGAAGGCGGCUGUCUGGUCUGUAACUGACGCUGAGGCUCGAAAGUAUGGGUAGCAAACAGGAUUAGAUACCCUGGUAGUCCAUACCGUAAACGAUGAAUGCUAAGUGUUGGAGGGUUUCCGCCCUUCAGUGCUGCAGCUAACGCAUUAAGCAUUCCGCCUGGGGAGUACGGCCGCAAGGCUGAAACUCAAAGGAAUUGACGGGGGCCCGCACAAGCGGUGGAGCAUGUGGUUUAAUUCGAAGCUACGCGAAGAACCUUACCAGGUCUUGACAUACUAUGCAAAUCUAAGAGAUUAGACGUUCCCUUCGGGGACAUGGAUACAGGUGGUGCAUGGUUGUCGUCAGCUCGUGUCGUGAGAUGUUGGGUUAAGUCCCGCAACGAGCGCAACCCUUAUUAUCAGUUGCCAGCAUUAAGUUGGGCACUCUGGUGAGACUGCCGGUGACAAACCGGAGGAAGGUGGGGAUGACGUCAAAUCAUCAUGCCCCUUAUGACCUGGGCUACACACGUGCUACAAUGGAUGGUACAACGAGUUGCGAACUCGCGAGAGUAAGCUAAUCUCUUAAAGCCAUUCUCAGUUCGGAUUGUAGGCUGCAACUCGCCUACAUGAAGUCGGAAUCGCUAGUAAUCGCGGAUCAGCAUGCCGCGGUGAAUACGUUCCCGGGCCUUGUACACACCGCCCGUCACACCAUGAGAGUUUGUAACACCCAAAGUCGGUGGGGUAACCUUUUAGGAACCAGCCGCCUAAGGUGGGACAGAUGAUUAGGGUGAAGUCGUAACAAGGUAGCCGU